UCGAGAGUUUGAUCCUGGCUCAGAUUGAAUGCUGGCGGAAUGCUUUACACAUGCAAGUCGAACGGUAGAGGGGGCAACCCCUCGAGAGUGGCGAACGGGUGAGUAAUAUAUCGGAACGUGCCCAGUCGUGGGGGAUAACGUAGCGAAAGUUACGCUAAUACCGCAUAAUCCCUAAGGGGGAAAGCGGGGGAUCGCAAGACCUCGCGCGAUUGGAGCGGCCGAUAUCAGAUUAGGUAGUUGGUGAGGUAAAGGCUCACCAAGCCAACGAUCUGUAGCUGGUCUGAGAGGACGACCAGCCACACUGGAACUGAGACACGGUCCAGACUCCUACGGGAGGCAGCAGUGGGGAAUUUGGACAAUGGACGCAAGUCUGAUCCAGCCAUUCCCGCGUGCAGGAUGACGGUCCUAUGGAUUG
rnacentral:rRNA from 1 species